rnacentral:rRNA from 1 species
GACAGAGGCCUCGAGCGUUAGGCGGAAUCACUGGGCUUAAAGCGUGUGUAGGCGGGCCCGUAAGUGUCUUGUGAAAUCCCACGGCUCAACCGUGGAACUGCUGGGCAUACUGCGGGUCUUGGGCCAACUAGGGGCAGCCGGAACAAGCGGUGGAGCGGUGAAAUGCGUAGAUAUCGUAAGGAAGACCAGUGGCGAAGGCGAGUCUCUGGACAGUUACUGACGCUGAGGCACGAAGGCCAGGGGAGCAAACGGG